rnacentral:rRNA from 1 species
GAUGAACGCUAGCUACAGGCUUAACACAUGCAAGUCGAGGGGUAGCAGGGUAGCAAUACCGCUGACGACCGGCGCACGGGUGAGUAACACGUAUCCAACCUUCCCAUAACUCGGGGAUAGCCUUUCGAAAGAAAGAUUAAUACCGGAUGGUACUUUUUCAAGGCAUCUUGAGAAAGUUAAAGAUUUAUUGGUUAUGGAUGGGGAUGCGUUCCAUUAGAUAGUUGGUGAGGUAACGGCUCACCAAGUCUUCGAUGGAUAGGGGUUCUGAGAGGAAGGUCCCCCACAUUGGUACUGAGACACGGACCAAACUCCUACGGGAGGCAGCAGUGAGGAAUAUUGGUCAAUGGGCGAGAGCCUGAACCAGCCAAGUAGCGUGAAGGAUGAAGGUCCUAUGGAUUGUAAACUUCUUUUAUAGUAGAAUAAAGUGAUCCACGUGUGGAUUUUUGUAUGUAUACUAUGAAUAAGGAUCGGCUAACUCCGUGCCAGCCGCCGCCGUAA